rnacentral:tRNA from 1 species
GAGGGUAUAGCUCAGUGGUAGAGGGCAUGCUUAGUAUGUGUGAGGUCCUGGGUUCAAUCCUCAGUACCUCCA